GUGUCGUCUGCCCAGGAACGAUGCCAGACGGACCUGCCAGAUAUUGUACACGUCAAAGAGAAUGACGUCGUAGGUACCCAACUCUUCAACGUGAGCUCCCCCGGGGAGACUAGCUGGUGGCUGACCAUCGAGGACCCCCAACAGAAAAUCUUUGCUCAGCUACUUCCGGUUCUCCCGGGAUGGUGACGUGUACGUUCUCAGACUGGUCAAGCAGCUGGACAUCGAGGAGAUAUUUCGCACUAUGGGCGUGAAGCUGUCCGUGAUUUUGUUGACGCUCGGCUGUCAGACAACUCGAUUACCCAGUACG